GCCCGCACAAGCGGUGGAGCAUGUGCUUUCAUUCGACGCAACGCGAAGAACCUUACCUGGGUUUGAAAUGCAUCUGACAGGCAUAGAGAUAUGCCCUCCCUUCGGGGCAGAUGCACAGGUGCUGCAUGGCUGUCGUCAGCUCGUGUCGUGAGAUGUUGGGUUAAGUCCCGCAACGAGCGCAACCCCUACCCUUAGUUGCCAGCGGGUAAUGCCGGGGACUCUAAGGGAACUGUCGGCCACAAGCCGGAGGAAGGUGGGGAUGACGUCAAGUCCUCAUGGCCUUUAUGCCCAGGGCUACACACGUGCUACAAUGGCCUGCACAAAGGGAAGCGAUACCGCGAGGUGGGGCAAAUCCCAAAAAGCAGGUCUCAGUUCAGAUUGAAGUCUGCAACUCGACUUCAUGAAGGCGGAAUCGCUAGUAAUCGUGGAUCAGCACGCCACGGUGAUACGUUCCCGGGUCUUGUACACACCGCCCGUCACACCACGAAAGCUGAUUGUACCAGAAGUCGCCGGGCUAAC
rnacentral:rRNA from 1 species